AUCUAGCUAACAAGUUCCAAAUAGGACAAAACGUGCGUCCUGGAU
rnacentral:hammerhead_ribozyme from 1 species